GUACCAGACUCCUACGGGAGGCAGCAGUGAGGAAUAUUGGUCAAUGGGCGAGAGCCUGAACCAGCCAAGUCGCGUGAGGGACGACGGCCCUACGGGUUGUAAACCUCUUUUGCCGGGGGACAAACGGCGGCACGCGUGCCGUCCUGAGGGUACCCGGAGAAAAAGCAUCGGCUAACUCCGUGCCAGCAGCCGCGGUAAUACGGAGGAUGCGAGCGUUAUCCGGAUUUAUUGGGUUUAAAGGGUGCGUAGGCGGGAUGCCAAGUCAGCGGUCAAAUGGCGGGGCUCAACCCCGGCCUGCCGUUGAAACUGGGUGCCUUGAGUGGGCGAGAAGUACGCGGAAUGCGUGGUGUAGCGGUGAAAUGCAUAGAUAUCACGCAGAACUCCGAUUGCGAAGGCAGCGUACCGGCGCCCAACUGACGCUGAAGCACGAAGGCGUGGGUAUCGAACAGGAUUAGAUACCCCUGUA
rnacentral:rRNA from 1 species